GGGGGGGGAGGAGGGGUAAGUUGUGUUAGUUUUAUGAAUUUGAAUUUGAAAUAUUUAUUAUAGUAAUUUUCACCUUCCAUUUCACCCUUUGAUAAGGGUGAACGUAUUUCGAUUAACAUGCCAAUUAUCUUCAGCAGUACAAGGUAAAAUAAGAGGAUAGAAGAGAAUUACAAUUGAAUGGCUAGAUGAACAGUUAACGGUAACUAGAGAAGAUAAAACUAAGACAAUAGUAAUUCUUAAGAAUGAAAUCUAUAUACAAUAUUUAACUAUUAUGUUCAGGACUCAGACACACGAACUGAAGCAAGGUCUGACGGGAUCUUUAAAAGCUAAAAUUGAUAGGCUCUUAAAGAAAAAUGGCUUACUGAUUCCCUCAAAGCCUCUAAAGUUCACACAAAGACCUGAUAACCAUCCGACCAAUUGUCGAAACAAGACAUUUUCUUGUUUAUACUUGAGAAUGCCCUGGCCAAUUUAUGUUACAACAAGCUUAAAGAGUUUGAAUAUACCGUCAAUUCUUUGGAAGAUUUUCGUAAUAUGAUUAAAGAUUAUUUUCAUCCUUAAAGCUUUCACUAACGUGCCUAGCUUUACAUAGGUUCCUCCUAAAAACUUUUGUGGAACUGAUAGAACCGUUCACCUUAAGAUAGAACUGCGAUAUUUGUUAUGAAUCAUACUUCGCUAAAAGCGAGGUAUGAUUCAUAACAAUUCUCUCUUUUAAUGGGAAAUUUUUCAAACAGAAAGUGUUCCAUCGGAGGUCCUUGAUAUUGUGACCAAUAUCAUGACAGAAAUUCUGCUUAGAUACGUAGAAUCUUAAUUCUUAACAAUUUUUGUGCGUUAAUUAAAAUCUUUUUGUGUUAUUUUCGCAAAACUUAUGCUAUUGGGUAUGAACAUGACAGAUCGCCUGCAGUAUCUGAGGCCUUUAUCUCUAUGAAUGCCGGUCUGAAGUCUUAGAACAAUGAAGUAGUUCUAUCCAUUUUCUUGAUGUUAAUAUUAAAUUACACAAUAGCAAUAUGAAACUAUUGUGUAUAGAAAGCCUCCUCUUCAUUCCCAUUUGGUCUUGAACCAUUGAAGAUCCAUUGAAGUUUAAAAAGAC
rnacentral:lncRNA from 1 species